AAAGGCGUAAUGAAAGUGAAGGUUCGCCUAGCGCGAACCGAGGGAGGAUGGACGGUCGAACGUGGCCGUCCCGCACUCCCUGGGCGUCUCGUUCUCAUCGCGAGAAGAGGCGCACCAAGAGCGUACACGCUGGGACCCGAAAGAUGGUGAACUAUGCCUGGUCAGGACGAAGUCAGGGGAAACCCUGAUGGAGGUCCGUAGCGAUUCUGACGUGCAAAUCGAUCGUCGGAACUGGGUAUAGGGGCGAAAGACUAAUCGAACCAUCUAGUAGCUGGUUCCCUCCGAAGUUUCCCUCAGGAUAGCUGGCGCUCGCUUCUCGCGAGUCUCAUUCGGUAAAGCGAAUGAUUAGAGGCAUUGGGGUCGAAACGGCCUCAACCUAUUCUCAAACUUUAAAUGGGUGAGAUCUCCGGCUUGCUUGAACUGUGAAGCCGCGAGAUAUCGGAUCAGAGUGCCAAGUGGGCCACUUUUGGUAAGCAGAACUGGCGCUGUGGGAUGAACCAAACGCCGAGUUAAAGCGCCUAAAUCGACGCUUAUGGGA
rnacentral:rRNA from 1 species